AAACCCCACCCGUUGCGCUAUUGUCAUAUCUACUCCUAGCGCAAGCUUUACGCUUAGUUGCGGGGGAAUGGGGAAUAUUAUUCAUGAUUAACUUGGCUAAUAUUCUUUUUUAAAUUAAAAAAACUAACUAAUAAAAGAUGAAUUUUCUAA